rnacentral:tRNA from 1 species
GAGGGUAUAGCUCAAGUGGUAGAGCUCAUGCUUAGCAUACAGCAUACACAAGGUCCUGGGUUCAAUCCCCAGUACCGCCU